AUUGAACGCUGGCGGCAGGCCUAACACAUGCAAGUCGAACGGUAACAGGGAUCAGCUUGCUGAUUCGCUGACGAGUGGCGGACGGGUGAGUAAUGUCUGGGAAACUGCCUGAUGGAGGGGGAUAACUACUGGAAACGGUAGCUAAUACCGCAUAACGUCGCAAGACCAAAGAGGGGGACCUUCGGGCCUCUUGCCAUCGGAUGUGCCCAGAUGGGAUUAGCUAGUAGGUGGGGGAACGGCUCACCUAGGCGACGAUCCCUAGCUGGUCUGAGAGGAUGACCAGCCACACUGGAACUGAGACACGGUCCAGACUCCUACGGGAGGCAGCAGUGGGGAAUAUUGCACAAUGGGCGCAAGCCUGAUGCAGCCAUGCCGCGUGUAUGAAGAAGGCCUUCGGGUUGUAAAGUACUUUCAGCGGGGAGGAAGGGAGUAAAGUUAAUACCUUUGCUCAUUGACGUUACCCGCAGAAGAAGCACCGGCUAACUCCGUG
rnacentral:rRNA from 1 species